UUAAUAUUUUUGAAUAUUGGUUGUCAACACAGGCUGUCUAAUUCAUUUAGUUGUGUGAUUCAUUGAGAAAAGGCUUUAUAUCUACUGUCCCUGUGUCAGUGGGAAGGAAGACAAGGUUGUUGUUGUUACGUCUCUAGUACAGAGUAAUGCACUGGAGGAAGUCCGGCUGGCUUCAUUUGGGAGUGGGGCGGGGGAAUGAAAAGGAAGAACACUGUUAUUUUAGGGAAAUGUUUUGAGGAAUUUAGUGUAUUUUUUUCUGGCACCCACUCAGAAAAAUACUGUAAGCAAACUGUGAAACUUGGGUAGGAAUGUCCUAGUCGUCUCAUUAGCAAUUUAAACAAAACUAAGACUCGAACGCAAGUGUAAAGAUAAACAACAUCAGGAAAGGAAUUCUUCAGUAUGUCCUGAGAAAGUUGUCAUUGAAAUGAGUUUAUCAUUAAUUGAUUUGUGUACUUGGUGUGCUUGUUUUGUUUUACUCUUACAUUUGCUGUGUUAAACAGAUGAAUGUCAGCUCUUUUGUACUUAGCAAAUUAGUGAUUCUUCCCCCCUCCACCAAAUCCCUGAUUGGUCACUUUAGGUAUGACUCACCCUGUUGAAAAUGCACAAACAUAGCAAAAAAAUGGUACAUUAGUCAGAGUUCUCUGGAGAAAACCAAUAAAAUGACAUAGAUCUAUACACCCAGGCACCUGUCUACUUACUUUGGUACCUGCCUACCUACCUACUUAAACAUUUAGAGAUUGCCUGGGUAAGGAAAUGACCUGUGAUUGUGGGGCCUGGCAAGUUCAAACUGUGCAGUUUUGAGGCAGGCUGGAAACUUAUGCAGGGUUUAUCAUUUGCAGGUUUGAGGCAGAAUUUUUUUCUUUGAGAAGCCUGAGUCUUUGCCCUUAGGGCGUUCAACUGAUUGGAUGUGACCCACCUACACCAAGGAGGGUGUAUUAAGCUCUCCAGAGAAGCAGAAUCAAUAGGUUGGUUGCGUGUAUUCUGAGAAGCCCCCAAAUAUUUGCAUUUGGCAAACUGGAGAGUCAAAAAAGCUGAUGAUAUAGUUCCAAUCCAAAAACUGGUAAGCUCAACACCAAGAAGAGUCAGGAUUUCAGUUUGAGUCUAAAGGCAGGAAAAGACUGAGAGUGCAAUUCAGGGUGGUUGGUUGGAAAAGGUGCCCUCUUAACUCCUGAGAGGGUGGGCUUUACUGUUCUAUUCAGGCCUUCACCCGACUGGUUGAUGCAACUGAUUACUUACAUUAGGGAGGAAAAUUGGCUUUACUCAGUCUGUGAACUCAAAUGUCCACUUUAUCAAAACAUCCUCAUAGACACACCUGGAAUAAUGCUUGACCAAAUAUCUAGGCACCUGCGACUCAAUCAAGCAUGAGAUUAACCUUUUUUUUUUUUCGCCAUUGUUAAAAGUACUGGGACCGAUGAUUUGUGAUUAAGAUACUAGAAAGAGGGGAAAAUAUCCAUUAUCCCACCAGAAGUUGUUUCUUUUCCUCCAGUCUUUUAUUUUUAUUUUUAUUUAUUUAUUUUUUUAGGACUACACCCCGAGGCAUAUGGAAGUUCCCAGGCUAGGGGUUGAAUCAGAGCUGUAGCUGCUGGCCACAGCCACAGCCACAGCAAUGUGAGAUCCGAGCCACAUCUUCGACCUACACCACAGCUCACGGCAACGCCAGAUUCCUAACCCACUGAGCAAGGCCAGGGAUCAAAACCCUCAUCCUUGGGGAUACUAGUCGGAUGCAUUUCCACUGCGCCACAACUGGAAUUUCCUCUUCCAGUCUUUUAAAUAAAAGGGUAUAUUUUAAAGCAUCUUGAAAAUGUUUGCAAAAAUGUUUCGAAUGUUUGAAAGCUUUUCUCUCUUUCACAUGUUUGUCCUAGUGGUCAGAGCAAAAAGACCAAAAUGGGCCCUGGGGCUCCCAGAUGUUUGUCCAGUAUCUGCGACUCACUAACUUCAUCAUUUGAGAAAGAGAAUCCUCUUGAACCGCAGUUUUCUUCUGUUUAUGAAUUGUUUCGGUUUGGAGAUCUCUAAUGACCUUUUCAGCUUGAAAAUGUUAUUAAUCUGGGAUUUCUUAAGACUGUUACCCAACGCAAAUCCAUAUGCGCGACGCACACUGAGGCCAAACAAUACUGAUAGAUCAGAAUUUGGAGCAGAGCAAGGUUGAUUGCAGGGCCAUGCAAGGAGAUGGAUGACUUGUGCCUCCAAAAGCCCUGAACUCCCUGAAGGCUUUCAUCAAAGCCCUUUUAAAGGCAGGAUGAGGGAGGGGCAUUGUUAGUUGUCGCAGAUUUCUUGGUGUGUUCCUGUAAAGCUCCAACAAAACAGAUGUUAUUCUCUGUUCUGCAAGUUUUUGUCUAAAAAUGUAAUACUCUUAAAGGUCAUGGCCCUAAGAAGAGGCUGUGUAUUUCAGGCUAUAGGGAGCAUCCUGUAGGCGGCAUAUUUUUGCAAAAGGAGCGGAGCCAGGACGACUUAGCACAAGUGACAGAGGACAAGAAUUAAAGUAAGGUCAAAAUAAAAAGAACAGAUUCAAUAUAGAGUCAAAGUUGUUCUUCCCUAUUACAAGAGGGGUGGGUAGGGGGUACCUGGUCCCGUCCAUUAUUCCAUGCUGGAAGAUUGGAAGUGGUGUACAGGGGAACAAUGUUUAGUUUAAUAAUUCAGUAUUUUACUGUGAGUUUGAACCAAAUAGGAUUUGCAAAAAAAAAAAUCAAGGCUUCCUGAUUAUUGAUGCUUAGGACAAGGUGAAAACAAAAGGAAUCAUUUUAGUGAAAAAUAUUAAGAAAAUAUGUGUUUUAUGCAUGUAUGGAGAAACAUUAGAAAUAUUGCAAGCCUGGGAUAGGUCCAAUAUACUCUAUUAAUUCAUGAAUCUAAGUUGAUGUGCUCUUAUGUUGCUUUUCAUGAGACCCAGAAAGACCACAGUUCUCUUAGGAGAACAGUGUAGAUGGUGAUUUAACCAUUUGCUUGACCUGCAUUGAGUGUAACCUGACAACUACUGUGCCAGGUCCCAGGAUCCUUGGGUGAGUGGUUGUGACUUAGACCUUUGGUAGCUUGUAGUCUCAUGGGAUGUCAGGAGUGCAAAUGAGUAAUUGUAACCUAGUAUCAUAUCUGCAGUAGUGCAAGUAUGUACUAGGGACCAGACUGGGGAGAGCAGAGAGGAAGGAGGCCACCUCUUCCAUGGGAGCACCAGGGAAAGCAUCGCUGCAAUUAUGCUUGACCUGGCUAACACAUUGGGAAUGGCCAUUCCAGGUCUAGGGAAUGGGCAGUCCGGAGGCUUUCAGCAGAUUCUUGGGAUUCUUGGUGUUUCCUGAUAUGUGUUUUCGUAUAGGAAGAACCUACUAGAGAAGAUGUUGUUUUCACUCUCUCUUCCCAGUUCCAUGCCACAAGCCUGAGCUAAUCUUGCAGUAUUCAUGGAUUAGAUUCUGGAACAUUGGCCACCAUCUCUGCACUCUCCUGCUACCUGGCUCAGGGCUUUUUUUUUCUUUCUCUCCUGAAUGAGUCCUAAGUAAAAAUCCGCAUAUCCUCUAAACAUUCAUUUUCAAUAUGGCUUUUGCUAUUUUUAAAAAGGCAGAGAGAAGAAAAAUGAUUUUCAUGAUCUUGGAUGAGGGAAGACUUUGUGGCCCUAAUUAAAUGCCUGAGUUUGGUUUUGUGUUUGCUGGGAGCCUACUGUAAAGCAAACCGAUGUGGCCUUCUGUUCUGUUCCAGGCGCCAAGAGCUUGCUGGGCUGGGUUCCCACUGAGUCUGGUAAUGCUUUCCUUCUGUCCCACCCUGUAUUGCAGAGCUUCGGAGGCUGAUGACAUCACCUUGGAUGAUAAAGCUGUCCUCCAAAGGGUUACAAGAAGAGCUGCCAGAGUGGAGCAAGGGAUGGAGGUGGGGGUGCAGAGGGGCUUGCCGCUCUGUCCAACGUUGUCAUUGCAUUUGCCUUCUUAAAAAAAAAAAAAAAUCCUCUGUAGAAAUAGGAGAGAUUACACUUUUAAAUGUGAAGUAUUUUAUGGGGCUAAUUUAUUGCUCCAUUGCCGCCUGCCCUGCAAGCAGAUCUGUUCAUCUGUUCCCUUGACAGCCUGCAGAUUUAAGUUUGCCUUGCCUCCCAGUGGGCCUCAUCUGGACACCUUGGGAGCUGGUGGGAAUCAUGUAUAAAGUAGGUGUGGGCUGCCAGGGAGAAUCGUUUGAUGCAGUGUUCCUCUGGUUGAAAAUUUUCCUGUCAGGGCUGGGGGUUUACUGAUGCUUCUCGCCAUCCCAUCCUCAAUUCAAUUGUUCAAAGCUCCUCAUCGUUGUUUAAGUCCCAUCUUCAGUGCCACCUCUUGCAGGCACCUUCCCUGACUGUAUAAGGCGUGCACUUGGUAGCGUCACUUCUCAGUUGCCUCACUGCACUGCAGGCUGCGGGAAGGCAGGGAUGAUGGCAUUUGCGGGGAGCUUACCUCGUGCCAAGCCCCUUCUAAGUGCUUUCCGUGAGAGGCUGAGUUCCAGUCCCUAAGCUAGGCCACGCAUGUGAACUCUUUGAGGGUGAAAGAGGCAGGACUUGGGCUGAGGUUGGGCCAUGAUAAGGGGCCCUGGCUUUGGAGGUAGAAAUGAUCUUAGCCUGACGCCCUCUGAGCUUGUUACUCAGGGAACUCUAAUCUCAGUUGCCAGGCAUAUGACCACAGGGUGCUUGAGCCGUGUUUACCAUAUUUCAUCCCUUGCAAAUGGGACACUUUUUAAAAGCACCCACUUUUUGGGGGCUGUUCCUGUGGCCUGAGGAAGUUCCCGGGCAAGGGAUUGAACCUGAGCCAUGGCAGUGACAAUGCCAAGUUCUCAACUGCAGGCCACCUUUAACAUUUUUAACAUUUU
rnacentral:lncRNA from 1 species